rnacentral:piRNA from 1 species
UGCUGGAUCUCGCGGUAUGCUAUGGUUCGCA